GCCGGGCAUGGAGACGGGAGCCCGGAGGAGAGGCCCGGAGCCGGGUGGAGAGUGAGGGCGGGCAUGGAGAGUCUGGAGCCCGGGGAGGAGCGGAGGGCGGGUGAGGCCGGAGCCCGGGAAGGCCGGAGCCGGCGGAGCCGAGGCCGGGUGGCCGGAGGCCGGGAUGAGCUCCGGAGGGCCGGGGAAGUGAUGUGGAGGGCCGGGGGUGGAGAGCCCGGAGCCCGGGUAAGUGAUGUGGAGGGCGGGCAUGGAGAGCCUGGAGGCCCGGGGUGGAGAGCCCGGAGGCCGGGCAUGGAGCUCCGGAGGGCCGGGGAAGAGAGGUGGAGGGCGGGCGUGGAGAGCCCGGAGGCCGGGCAUGGAGCUCCGGAGGGCCGGGGAUGGAGAGCCUGGAGCCCGGGGAAGAGAGCCCGGUGGCCGGGCAUGGAGAGCCCGGAGACCGCGGUGGAGAUCCGGUGGAUGAGGAGAUGAUGAGAUGAGAAAGGAGUAGCAGAAGAAGAGAGGAAGAGAAAAAAAUUAAAGAACCCAAAGAGAAAUCCCUCCUCUGCAGAGCCAAAGUCCCGUCACCUUACCAGGGGCGCCGGUUCGUGUACCUAAAAACGCCAAACGUAGGCUCCUAUCGCCGGAUUACUAUGGGCUAGCUGCCACUAGCCUUGAGCUAGGGUGAAAAGGGAGAGCGGGUCGCUGCGCCGAUCAAGGCCGAGCUAAAGUGGCCCUUUCCCGGACACAUUUUGCUCACCACCCGGCCCCCCUCCUGGAGGUCCAACACUCUGUCAUAUUCACGGGGGAAGCCUCCGGCGGCUGCGGCACGGCCGGGAGGGUACCUCCCAGGGGGUAUUUCGGCCCAAAUCCCGGUCCCCCCGCCCCCACGGAGGUCCGAGGCUCGGUCGUAUGGGACAGCGGGUCGCUGCGCCGAUUAAGGCAGGGCUAAAGUGGCCCUUUCCCGGACACAUUUUGCGCACCGCCCGGUCCCCCUCCCGGAGGUCCAACACUUUGUCAAAUUCACGGGGGGAGCCUCCGGCGGCCGCGGCCCUGCCGGGAGAGCCCUUCUCGGUGUGAAUUCGGCCGACCCCCCGGUCCCACCGCCCCCACGGAGGUCCAAGGCUCGGUCGUAUGGGACAGCGGGUCGCUGCGCCGAUUAAGGCAGGGCUAAAGUGGCCCUUUCCCGGACACAUUUUGCUCACCGCCCGGUCCCCCUCCCGGAGGUCCAACACUUUGUCAUAUUCACGGGGGGAGCCUCCGGCGGCUGCGGCCCGGCCGGGAGAGCCCUUCUCGGUGUGAAUUCGGCCGACCCCCCGGUCCCACCGCCCCCACGGAGGUCCAAGGCUCGGUCGUAUGGGACAGCGGGUCGCUGCGCCGAUUAAGGCAGGGCUAAAGUGGCCCUUUCCCGGACACAUUUUGCUCACCGCCCGGUCCCCCUCCCGGAGGUCCAACACUUUGUCAUAUUCACGGGGGGAGCCUCCGGCGGCUGCGGCCCGGCCGGGAGAGCCCUUUUCGGGUUGAAUUCGGCCGACCCCCCGGUCCCACCCACGGAGGUCCGAGACUUUGUCAGAUCCAGGGGGGGAGCCUCCGGUGGCUUCGGCCGGGCAGGGCGAGCCCUCCCCGGCCUGAAUUCGGCCGACCCCCCGGUCCCAACCCCUGGAGGUCCGAGACUUUGUCAGAUCCAGGGGGGGAG
rnacentral:lncRNA from 1 species